rnacentral:tRNA from 1 species
CGGGGCGUGGCGCAGCCUGGUAGCGCACUAGCAUGGGGGGCUAGUGGUCGCCCGUUCAAAUCGGGUCGCCCCGACCA